rnacentral:rRNA from 1 species
GACGAACGCUGGCGGCGUGCUUAACACAUGCAAGUCGAACGGAAAGGCCCUGCUUUUGUGGGGUGCUCGAGUGGCGCACGGGUGAGUAACACGUGAGUAACCUGCCCUUGACUUUGUGAUAACUUCAGGAAACUGGGGCUCAUACCGGAUAGGAUCUCCUGCUGCAUGUUGGGGGUUGGAAAGUUUCGGCUGUUGGGGAUGGACUCGCGGCUUAUCCGCUUGUUUGUGGGGUAGUGGCUUACCACGGCUUUGACGGGUAGCCGGCCUGAGAGGGUGAACGGCCACCAUGCGACUGAGAUAGGGCCCAGACGCGUACGGGAGGCAAUAGGGGGGAAUAUUGCACAACAGGGGGAAGCCUGAUGCAGCGACGCCGCGUGCGGGAUGACGGCCUUCGGGUUGUAAACCGCUUUCGCCUGUGACGAAGCGUGAGUGACGGUAAUGGGUAAAGAAGCACCGGCUAACUACGUG